AACAUGUCUAUAUGAAAUUAAUAUAAAGUCUAGCCUGCCCACUGAAUUUUUGAAGGGCUGCGGUAAAUUGACCGUGCAAAGGUAGCAUAAUCAGUAGUCUUUUAAUUGAAGGCUUGUAUGAACGGCUGGAUGAGAGAGAAGCUGUCUCUUUUUCAAUUUAAAAGUUGACUUUUGAGUGAAAAGGCUUAAAUUAAAUAAAGGGACGAUAAGACCCUAUAAAACUUUAUAUGAAUUAUUCUUUAUCUUAAAAUUAUAUUUAAAAUCCGAAAAGUUUUAUUCAUAUUUUGUUGGGGAGACAUUGAUAUAAAUGUAACUGUCUAAAAAAAAAUAUAGUUAUCAUUAUAGUUUGAUCCUUCUUUGUGGAUAAAAAGAAUAAGUUACUUUAGGGAUAACAGCGUUAUUCUUUCUGAGAGUCCUUAUCGAAGAAAGUAGUUGCGACCUCGAUGUUGAAUUAAAAUUCCGGGUAGGUGUAGCCGUUUACCAAAUAGGUCUGUUCGACCUUUGAAAUUUUACAUGAUUUGAGUUCAAGCCGGUGUAAGCCA
rnacentral:rRNA from 1 species